rnacentral:rRNA from 1 species
UACGGGGGGGGGCAAGCGUUGUUCGGAAUACUGGGCGUAAAGGGCUCGUAGGCGGCCAUCUAAGUCAGACGUGAAAUCCCCAGGCUUAACCUGGGAACUGCGUCGGAUACUGGAUGGCUUGAAUUCGGGAGAGGGAUGCAGAAUUCCAGGUGUAGCGGUGAAAUGCGUAGAUAUCUGGAGGAAUACCGGUGGCGAAGGCGGCAUCCUGGACCGACAUUGACGCUGAAAGGCGAAAGCUAGGGGAGCAAACGGG